rnacentral:pre_miRNA from 1 species
AGUGGGAUAGCUGGGUCAAAUGUUGGUCCCAUUCCAAGUUUUCUAAAGAAUCUCCAAACUGCUUUCCAGAGUUGUUCCACCAGUUUGUAGUCCCACCAGCAAU